rnacentral:rRNA from 1 species
GAUGAACGCUGGCGGCGUGCCUAACACAUGCAAGUCGAACGAAGCGCUUUGAAGUUUUCGGACAGAUGAGUGACUGAGUGGCGAACGGGUGAGUAACGCGUGAGGAACCUGCCUUUCAGUGGGGGGACAACAGUUGGAAACGACUGCUAAUACUGCAUGAUACUAUUGAGUGGCAUCACUUGAUAGUCAAAGAUUUAUUGCUGAAAGAUGGCCUCGCGUCUGAUUAGCUAGUUGGUGGGGUAACGGCCCACCAAGGCGACGAUCAGUAGCCGGACUGAGAGGUUGACCGGCCACAUUGGGACUGAGAUACGGCCCAGACUCCUACGGGAGGCAGCAGUGGGGAAUAUUGGGCAAUGGGCGAAAGCCUGACCCAGCAACGCCGCGUGAAGGAAGAAGGCCUUCGGGUUGUAAACUUCUUUACCAGGGACGAACACAAUGACGGUACCUGGAGAAAAGCAACGGCUAACUACGUG